rnacentral:rRNA from 1 species
AGCGAACGCUGGCGGCAGGCUUAACACAUGCAAGUCGAGCGGGCAUAGCAAUAUGUCAGCGGCAGACGGGUGCGUAACGCGUGGGAACGUACCUUUUGGUUCGGAACAACACAGGGAAACUUGUGCUAAUACCGGAUAAGCCCUCACGGGGAAAGAUUUAUCGCCGAAAGAUCGGCCCGCGUCUGAUUAGCUAGUUGGUGAGGUAAUGGCUCACCAAGGCGACGAUCAGUAGCUGGUCAGAGAGGAUGAUCAGCCACAUUGGGGCUGAGACACGGCCCGAACUCCUACGGGAGGCAGCAGUGGGGAAUAUUGGACAAUGGGCGCAAGCCUGAUCCAGCCAUGCCGCGUGAGUGAUGAAGGCCGUAGGGUUGUAAAGCUAUUUUGUGCGGGAAGAUAAUGACGGUACCGAAAGAAUAAGCCCCGGCUAACUUCGUG